rnacentral:rRNA from 1 species
GCUCAAAUUUGGAAUCUCCAAGUGUCUCACUUGGCGAAUUGUAGUUUGGAGAAACGUUUUCGGGGGCAGGCUGGGUCCAAGUUCUUUGGAACAAGACAUCAUAGAGGGUGAGAAUCCCGUCUUUGAUCCAGACUCUGCUUCCAUGUGAUACGUUUUCAAAGAGUCGGUUUGUUUGGGAAUGCAGACCAAAAUGGGUGGUAAAUACCAUCUAAAGCUAAAUAUUGGCGAGAGACCGAUAGCGAACAAGUACCGUGAGGAAAAGAUGAAAAGAACUUUGAAAAGAGAGUUAAACAGUACGUGAAAUUGUCAAAAGGGAAACGCUUGAAACCAGUAUUGCUUGCUAGGAUUCAGCCGGCUCUUAGCUGGUGCAUUUCCUAGUGUAGCGAGUCAACAUCAGUUUGGCUUGGAGUAAAAAGCCAAGGGAAUGUAGCUUACCCUCGGGUAGGUGUUAUAGCCUUUGGUCAUGCUCUGGGCCGGACUGAGGAAUGCAGCGUUUUUUGGGGAGCCUGUCGCCCUUUGUGACAUCGUGCCCGACUGCAUGCAGACGUGUGUGAAUGUUCGCAGAGGUACGGCGGGGGUACCACACCAACGCUUUGGAUGUUGACGAAAUGGUUUUAAACGACCCGUCUUGAAACACGGACCAAGGAGUCCAACAAAUAUGCGAGUAUUUGGGUGGCAAACCCUGAUGCGUAAUGAAAGUGAAAAGGUGGGAUCUACGGUGCACCAUCGACCGGGCCGGAUUAUUACUAUCCUGGUCUGAGUAUGAGCAUAUUUGCUGGGACCCGAAAGAUGGUGAACUAUGCCUGAUAGGGUGAAGCCAGAGG